UACGAAGGGGGCUAGCGUUGUUCGGAAUUACUGGGCGUAAAGCGCGCGUAGGCGGUUUUGCAAGCCAGAGGUGAAAUGCCUGAGCUCAACUUAGGAAUUGCCUUUGGGACUGCGAGGCUUUGAGGACUGGAGAGGUGAGUGGAAUUCCCAGUGUAGAGGUGAAAUUCGUAGAUAUUGGGAAGAACACCGGUGGCGAAGGCGGCUCACUGGCCAGUUUCUGACGCUGCAGC
rnacentral:rRNA from 1 species